GCCCCGGUGGUGGAAUUGGUAUACACGGCAGUUUGAGGGGCUGUGGACGAAAGUCCGUGCGGGUUCGAGUCCCGCCCGGGGCACCU
rnacentral:tRNA from 1 species